rnacentral:rRNA from 1 species
UAACUGCCUUGUAGCGGGGAGUAACUAUUGGAAACGAUAGCUAAUACCGCAUAACAAUGGAUGACACAUGUCAUUUAUUUUGUAAAGGGGCAAUUGCUCCACUACAAGAUGGACCUGCGUUGUAUUAGCUAGUAGGUGAGGUAACGGCUCACCUAGGCGACGAUACAUAGCCGACCUGAGAGGGUGAUCGGCCACACUGGGACUGAGACACGGCCCAG